rnacentral:rRNA from 1 species
UACGUAGGGGGCUAGCGUUGUCCGGAUUUAUUGGGCGUAAAGAGCGUGUAGGCGGCCAGGUAGGUCUGGUGUGAAAACUCGAGGCUUAACCUCGAGAUGUCAUCGGAAACCAUCUGGCUAGAGUCCGGAAGAGGAGGGUGGAAUUCCUGGUGUAGCGGUGAAAUGCGCAGAUAUCAGGAAGAACACCAAUGGCGAAAGCAGCUCUCUGGGACGGUACUGACGCUGAGACGCGAAAGCGUGGGGAGCAAACAGG